rnacentral:rRNA from 1 species
CCCUGCAGUUUGCGCCUGGUUUUCCACUGAAACUAAGCAGAGUUGAGCCUGGCCAUUACCUGGAUGGGAGACCUCCUGGGGAAAACUAAAGUUGCUGCUGGAA